rnacentral:rRNA from 1 species
CCUACGGGUGGCAGCAGUGAGGAAUAUUGGUCAAUGGGCGCGAGCCUGAACCAGCCAAGUCGCGUGAGGGAGGACGGCCCUAUGGGUUGUAAACCUCUUUUGCCGGGGAGCAACGGGCGCCACGUGUGGCGUCACUGAGAGUACCCGGAGAAAACGCAUCGGCUACCUCCGUGCCAGCAGCCGCGGUAAGACGGAGGAUGCGAGCGUUCUCCGGAUUUAUUGGGUUUAGAGGGUGCGUAGGUGGAUCGUUAAGUCAGUGGUCAAAUUGAGGGGCUCAACCUCUUCCCGCCAUUGAAACUGGCGUUCUUGAGUGGAAGAGAAGUAUGCGGAAUGCGUGGUGUAGCGGUGAAAUGCAUAGAUAUCACGCAGAACCCCGAUUGCGAAGGCAGCAUGCCGGCUUCCGACUGACGCUGAAGCACGAAAGCGUGGGGAUCGAACAGGAUUAGAUACCCUUGUAGUC